GAUGAAGAACGCAGCAAAAUGCGAUAAAUAAUGUGAAUUGCAGAAUUCAGUGAAUCAUCGAAUCUUUGAACGCACAUUGCGCCCGCUGGUAUUCCGGCGGGCAUGCCUGUUCGAGCGUCAUUUCAACCCUCAAGCCCCCGGGUUUGGUGUUGGGGAUCGGCUCUGCCCUUCUGGGCGGUGCCGCCCCCGAAAUACAUUGGCGGUCUCGCUGCAGCCUCCAUUGCGUAGUAGCUAACACCUCGCAACUGGAACGCGGCGCGGCCAUGCCGUAAAACCCCAACUUCUGAAUGUUGACCUCGGAUCAGGUAGGAAUACCCGCUGAACUUAAGCAUAUCAAUAAGCGGAGGA
rnacentral:misc_RNA from 1 species